rnacentral:lncRNA from 1 species
AUCGUGGUUGUUGUUGUUAUGGUUGAAGUUUUUGUCUCUGGUGAGUGAAGCUCUCGUCGUGAUUGCUCCUCCAGUGUGUAGUUAUUAUAGUAGAUUUGUAAGUUACAGUGCGUUGUCUGCUGUAGUGUUGCUAUCGUGGUGUAUAUUCUACCAAAAGUAAUUGUAGCCUGUUAAAUAGAAUGUGAGUUUAAGCAUUGAAGUUUAAGCAC